rnacentral:rRNA from 1 species
GAAUCUUCCGCAAUGGGCGAAAGCCUGACGGAGCAAGACCGCGUGGGGGAGGAAGGUUUUUGGAUCGUAAACCCCUUUUGUCAGGGAAGAAGUUCUGACGGUACCUGACGAAUAAGCCUCGGCUAACUCCGUGCCAGCAGCCGCGGUAAUACGGAGGAGGCAAGCGUUAUCCGGAAUGAUUGGGCGUAAAGCGUCUGUAGGUGGCGAACUAAGUCUGCUGUUAAAGAUCACAGCUCAACUGUGGAAAGGCAGUGGAAACUGGUUAGCUAGAGGCUGGUAGGGGUAAAGGGAAUUCCCGGUGUAGCGGUGAAAUGCGUAGAUAUCGGGAAGAACACCGGUGGCGAAAGCGCUUUACUGGGCCA